AUGUAUACCAGACAGAAGAGAAAAACAGUUCCUAAACCGUGUCACAACAGCUCUGUCCUCCCAAGUUUAACGAGACAGAGAGAGAAAACAGUUCCUAACCGUGUUCACACAGCUGUUUCUCCUCAUGUUAUACCAGACAGAGAGAGAAAACAGUUCCUAACCGUGUCCACACAGCUCUGUCUCCUCAUGUUAUACGAGACAGAGGAGAGAAAACAGUGAGUCAUUCAACUAUUUUUUACUUACUUUAUACUCAGACACCUCUGGUGUGUAGUUCUCUGUCAGCUCCAGCAGCUGUGAACACACGCACACGACAGAGUGAUAAUGAGUUACAUGGAGGUGUGUAGCACCUUAGCAACACACAACUCUACAGUCAUCUCUCACUGUUCUUCUAUGUUAAUUAGAGGUUUUAUUCACGUGGAAAACAGAGGGACUCACAGUGGCAAUAAAAAGGAUGUGAACCCUUUGGAAUCAAAUCAAAUCAAAUCAACUGGGUACUGGACUUCCUGACGGGCCGCCCCCUUUGGAAUGACCUGGACUUCUGCAUAAAUUAGUCAUCAACAUUUAACCUGAUCUUCAUCUAAGUCACAACAAUAGACAAAACACAGUGUGCUUAAACUAAUAACACACAAAUGAUUGUAUUUUUCUUGUCUAUAUUGAAUACAUCAUUUAAACAUUCACAAUGUAGGUUGGAAAAAGUAUGUGAACACUGAGGCUACUGACUUCUCCAAAAGAUAAUUGGAGUCAGGAGUCAGUUAACAUGGAGUCCAAUCAAUGAGACGAGAUUGGAGAUGUUGGUUAGAGCUGCCCAGCCUUUUAAAAAAACUCACAAAAUUUGAGUUUGCUAUUCACAAGAAGCAUUGCCUGAUGUGACCCAUGCCUCGAACAAAAGAGAUCAGAAGACCUAAGAUUAAGAAUGAUUGAUUUGCAUAAAGCUGGAAAGGGUUAAAGUAUCUCUAAAAGCCUUGAUGUUC
rnacentral:lncRNA from 1 species